UACGGGGGGGGCAAGCGUUGUUCGGAAUUACUGGGCGUAAAGGGCUCGUAGGUGGCCAACUAAGUCAGACGUGAAAUCCCUCAGCUUAACUGGGGAACUGCGUCUGAUACUGGAUGGCUUGAGAUUGGGAGAGGGAUGCGGAAUUCCAGGUGUAGCGGUGAAAUGCGUAGAUAUUGGGAGGAACACCGGUGGCGAAGGCGGCUACCUGGACCGGUACUGACGCUGAGGCGCGAAAGCUAGGGUAGCAAACAGG
rnacentral:rRNA from 1 species